GAAAGCGUAAUAGCUCACUAGUCGAGUCGGCCUGCGCGGAAGAUGUAACGGGGCUCAAACUGGAUACCGAAGCUGCGGCUGCAUACUAUGUAUGCGGGGUAGGGGAGCGUUGUGUAAGUCUGUGAAGGUGUGUUGAGAAGCAUGCUGGAGAUAUCACAAGUGCGAAUGCUGACGUGAGUAACGAUAAUGGGAGUGAAAAACUCCCACGCCGAAAGACCAAGGUUUCCUGCGCAACGCUAAUCGGCGCAGGGUGAGUCGGCCCCUAAGGCGAGGCAGAAAUGCGUAGCUGAUGGGAAACAGGUUAAUAUUCCUGUACUUCUUAUAACUGCGAUGGAGAGACGGAGAAGGCUAUGCCUACCGGGCGUUGGUUGUCCCGGGGAAAGGCUGUAGGCUGAGGUGUUAGGCAAAUCCGGCACCUUAAGGCUGAGAGUCGAGACCACUGGUCCUUUGUGACCGGGAAGUGGUUGAUGCCAUGCUUCCAGGAAAAUCUUCUAAGCUUCAGGUUAUAAGGAACCGUACCCCAAACCGACACAGGUGGUUGGGAUGAGUAUUCUAAGGCGCUUGAGAGAACUCGGGUGAAGGAACUAGGCAAAGUGGUACCGUAACUUCGGGAGAAGGUACGCCGCUGACGGUGAUGAGACUUGCUCUCUGAGCUAUCGGCGGUCGCAGUGAAAAGGCCCCUGCAACUGUUUAUUAAAAACACAGCACUCUGCAAACGCGUAAGCGGACGUAUAGGGUGUGACGCCUGCCCGGUGCCGGAAGGUUAAUUGAUGGGGUUAGCUUCGGCGAAGCUCUUGAUCGAAGCCCCGGUAAACGGCGGCCGUAACUAUAACGGUCCUAAGGUAGCGAAAUUCCUUGUCGGGUAAGUUCCGACCUGCACGAAUGGCGUAAUGAUGGGGGCGCUGUCUCCACCCGAGACUCAGUGAAAUCGAAAUCGCAGUGAAGAUGCUGUGUACCCGCGGCUAGACGGAAAGACCCCGUGAACCUUUACUAUAGCUUCACAGUGGACUUUGAACCUGUUUGUGUAGGAUAGCUGGGAGACUUUGAAGCAGUGACGCUAGUCAUUGUGGAGUCGUCCUUGAAAUACCAGCCUGGCAUGUUUGAGGUUCUAACCUGGGUCCCUUAUCGGGAUCGGGGACAUUGUGUGGUGGGUAGUUUGACUGGGGCGGUCUCCUCCCAAAGAGUAACGGAGGAGCACAAAGGUACCCUCAGCACGGUCGGACAUCGUGCA
rnacentral:rRNA from 1 species